ACGGCCACGGUACCCUAACCGUGCGAAGGUAGCAUAAUCACUUGUUCUUUAAAUGGGGACUCGUAUCAACGGCAUCACGAGGGUUCUACUGUCUCCUUUCUCUAAUCAGUGAAACUAAUCUCCCCGUGAAGAAGCGAGGAUAACACUAUAAGACGAGAAGACCCCAUGGAGCUUUAAACCCAAUUAUAUCCCUAACCCCUAUACCCAUUUAACCUCUUAGGCCUAUAUACUUG
rnacentral:rRNA from 1 species